GAUGAAGAACGUAGCGAAAUGCGAUAAGUAAUGCGAAUCGCAGAAUUCAGUGAAUCAUCGAAUCUUUGAACGCACAUUGCGCCCGCUAGUAUUCUGGCGGGCAUGCCUGUCUGAGCGUCAUUUCAACCCUCGCCCCCGGCUUUUGCUGGGAGCGGUGUUGGGGAUCGGCCGCCCGUCACUGGGAGGCCGGCCCCGAAAUAGAGUGGCGACCACGCCGUGUGCUCCUCUGCGUAGUAGUAAAUCACCUCGCAGGCGGACAGCGGUGCGGCCUGCCGUAAAACCCCCAACUCUUUCUGGUUGACCUCAGAUCAGGUAGGAAUACCCGCUGAACUUAAGCAUAUCAUAAGCGGAGGA
rnacentral:misc_RNA from 1 species